rnacentral:lncRNA from 1 species
ACAUAAGUGAAUGUGUACUAUUUAAUAGCACAUCACAUAAAAAGCCAACGUAACAACAUUAUUUACCACACAUAAUUAGUCACUAUAAAUAGUAAAAUGAAUAGAUAACAUAGAAAAUAAAAAAUGUAUUCUAUAUCACUGAAUUAUAUAAAACUCUUACUCCACUCACAACCAAAAAAUACUAAACCCAACUCUAACUUUUAAAUACUAAAUCCUAAACCCAAAUCCAAAUAUAAAACUAUAAUAUAUAAUGUUUAACACCACCCACAACCCCUUAAUACUAAACCCCACCCCAAGUUUUAAAUACUAAACCCACCCGAAAUUUUCUAUUCCAUUUCGCCAAAAUGGUAGUAUUAUAACCAUAAACAUAGCCCCUAAAUAAUAAACAUUAUCCCAGCUCCAACCCAACUGCAACCCCUACAUACUAAACCCUAAACUUGAAUCCCUAAAUCCAAACCAAAAUGUUAAAUAUAAUAUAUAGUUAGAAUAUUUUAAAUACAAUUAAAAUAUGAGAAUAGUAUAUAGUAUUAUAACCAUAAGAAUAAUCCCUAAAUAAUAAACAUUAUUCCAAUCCCU